rnacentral:lncRNA from 1 species
GAGACAGACGCUCCCAGGUGUUCUGUAUUCAGGUCACCUCUGGGUGCAGGGUGGCUGCUGCUCCCCUGGGCUCUGUGUCCCAGGUCCUGCGAUGCCUGACAAAGGCUGCAGCCAGAUCACUGGGGCACAUGCGAGGAGGAAACAGAAUGGACAGGCCGCAACAUGCCAAGCCACUAAAAGGAUUGACGCUUUAUUCUUCAGAGGAGAAAUACCAUUGUGGGGUCUACGGACCUCUAUCUAAGGCUUGUUAAAACAAAACAGAGAUGCUUAUGCUCUGGAAAGACGCCCGGGAUCCACUGGGCAGAAUGGCAAAGGAAAGAUCCCCAGCACGGAGCUCAGACAGAUGUCCUCGGCGGAGCUGAGUGCGGGGGUACAGGGUGUGGGGGUGCAUCAGUUGUGCUCUGACAGGUGCACAGGGUCCCCUUUCCCUUUGGCACCUCGGCUGCCUGUGCUUCUGGACCAACUGCCUGUUGAGAAAGCCUCUCUGUGUCCAGAAGUGAACUAUGAAAGGCCCUGAGUGGAUGGACUAUAUGCAAGGCACAGGAAGGAGGCCAAGCCCUCAGGAGUGGCAUCCAUGUGCAUUUGGGGCAGAGUGACGACUGGAAAAGACUGACCACGGCCCAGGCUCCCUGCCUUUCAGCUGCCAGUCUGCUGGGAAGUCACUUCCAUGAGGGUGGGGAGAGGUGAUGGCUAUUGACACCCAAGUUACACCUACCAAUGACCCAGUGGCUUCGGGCCUCACAGGCAGUGAGUGGACAUCUAGGCACCUGGAAUGCACCUCUAGGGCUCUGUGCCCGGGCUCUGAACAAGGAGAGAAGCCGCCGGCCCUCCUCCUGACCACUUCACCUCCGGCAGGAGACUAAUGAUGCACCUAAGUUAAUUCACUCGACUCUGGGACUAUGAGGCAGUUCAUCCACACGCUCCAAACUCCAGCUUAUUGUAGGAGACCAGUGCCUCGAUCUCAUGAGGUCAUCUCGACGCCUCAGCUGUAACCCUUGGAGAACCUGUGGUCUCUGCUCCUCUGCCUGCUGACAUGAUCAUCCCAGGUGCAAAACAGGUAUGAGCCACUGGCAUUCCUGCGCGCCAGUCUUCCAUCCUCUUUUCCUCGAGGGACCCACCGGCCAACCAGAUGUGCUGUUGUCCUGAGAACUGGCUCCACAUUUUGUGAGAUGUUUAAAGUCCAGGGAGGUCACUUAUAAGGAGGCACCUCUGUUCUCCAGGUGCACACACAAAGCCUCCCGUUAUCCGGUCUUGCACGUGCGUCCUUAGGGGCCAGCACCCUGGCUGCCUUCCAGAGUCUGCCCGGCUUUUCCAUCCCAUCUCUGCUCCCGAAGGCAUCCCGCUGCGGUCCUGGGCAUCUUGCACAGAAGCCCCUGCAAAUACCUACUUACAUAAGCCACGUACACGUUCUGUGCUAUUCCACGGUGGCUCUUGGUGCAAUUUGUUUUUAUUUCCUGCAAGCAGACUUUUCUUAUUACUUAACCUUUUUGGCCCCACAUUUCUUUAAUCUGCAAAAUGUGGCAAUGGAACCCGAUCAGAGAUCUUCAAAGCGAGUCCCCAGAGUCUCUUGAGAAGCCGCUAUUUCCAUAUUGGGCUUCCCAGUAAGUUUCCUUUUGAAGAAGGGGCUCUGUGGCUUAAAACAAGUUUGAAAACAUUUGGAUUAGCGGAUCUUGGAACUUCUUUCUGCUCUAACAUUCUGUGAAUCUAAAAACAUUCCUGACAUCGUCUAGCUGGAAGCUCUUAGUUCCAUGAAUUAUUUAAGAAUUAUUUUACUGCUGUCAUUAUGCUUACUGUUUUCUCCUUGUAUUCCUGUCCUCGUGAACACGGAGUGCCACCAACCAAACCUCAGGACCCGAGAAGCAUCCUAACGUGGCUGCUGGGUCCCUGGAGUGCCCUGCAAGUGGAGACGCUGCCUACUCAGUUUUUAAACUAAAUGAACAAUUUUUAAAAAAAUGUAAGAUCGCUUGGGGGAAUGUGAAUAUAAGAGUCUUAUUUUCUUUGCUUUGAAAUGGAAAUGAUAGAAAAGGAAGUGAGAAAAAAGAAAUGAACACAGAUGUUGGGUCUUGGCUAAUCAUUGUUCUAGAAAACCUCACCAAUACUGGGGAAAGGAAAGAAAUGAGCAAUGAUACUCAUACUAAUAGAGUAAACGUGGUUUAGUUUUCCCUCCAUACCAGCUGUGGAAGUGAAAGAAAUACAGAGAUUUUGUCAGGUUUAAGUUGAAAGCGGAACACAAAGUCUCAUUCUUUCAGAAGAUAAAGGGCCACACUAUACAAGACCAACUGAGGAAAAAGUAACAAGGAAGAGCGCCUCGCCCACCAGAAAUUGCCACAAAUUCUGUCACUGGCCCAGGGACAGAAAAAUACUCCCAUGCUGGUACCCACACUCUACCUGCCCCCACCCCCAGAGCUGGCUCAGCAGUGGGAUGAACUGUGGCUCCUGGGCGCUCAAUUCCAGCCCAUCCCAAAUGCACAUCCCACGUGUGUGUGCGUGCAUGCACGUGAAUGUGUCUGUAUGCAUACACGUGUGAACAUGCAUGUAUGCAUGUGUGCGUGCAUGUGUGAAUGUGCCU